rnacentral:rRNA from 1 species
UACGUAGGGUGCGAGCGUUUGUCCGGAAUUAUUGGGCGUAAAGAGCUCGUAGGCGGUCUGUUGCGUCGGCUGUGAAACCCGGGGCUCAACCCCGGGCCUGCAGCCGAUACGGGCAGACUAGAGUUCGGCAGGGGAGACUGGAAUUCCUGGUGUAGCGGUGAAAUGCGCAGAUAUCAGGAAGAACACCCGUGGCUAAGGCGGCUCUCUAGUACGGUACUGACGCUGAGACGCGAAAGCGUGGGGGAGCGAACAGG